UGCAAAUCUAGGAGGUGUCAGCUUGUGCCUCUCCUGACCCCCUCACCCCAGUGUGUUGCAGAUCCAUCCCUAUGAAUGAGGAAAGAAGAGGAGAACAUAAGGCAUCCAUAUAAAAAGGAGCUGACGUGAUGUUUUGAUGCAGAUUUCUACCCACCUGUGUGUGAACCAGUUACACCAGAACUACAAUGUUCCUUUUUUUUUUUUUUUUCUUCUAAGUGGUAGCUGUGAUUUGAGUCCACCCAUUUCUUAUCUUGUAUUUAGUUUACAAUGUUUGGUCAGUGCAUUUGCAUCAUCUUUCAAGCGUCUAAUCAAGCAUGAAUUACCUAACUGCAGGUACAAGCAGUGGAGGAAUUAUUUGGUAGCUAUAUCUGCUCCUGAAGCCCAUAAGUGGAGGAAGCCAGUUUAAGGAGACCACCAGAGCUGUCAGGCACACAAAAGUCAGCAAAUCUGAAGAGCUGACUGGGGAAGGAAAGGAAGGAUGUCCAAAACCAAUCAUGGAAAUCUUCAACUUGUUGGUCUGCACUCUCUGUCUCAUUCUUUAGGAAUGACUGUUUCCCAUUCCUGAUGCCUUCAUCUGAUGAGUCAGAUGAGGCUGAUGCUAACCAGCUUUCAAGAGGGCAAGCCAUUAGGCUGAAAUGGAGGUAGUCUCAGGAAACUGAAAACUUCUGCCUGCUAUGUAGUAUGAAAAACUCAGGGACAUUUUUUUCCCCUAAUUUUUUGUUAGAUUAAAACAAUUCCGUGCAAAAACUUAUGGUUGGAAAUCGAACUAGGAGUCGAGCUAGGGAGUUGUGCCAGGCUCCUUAUAUUUCCUUCUUUAUACCUUCUGGACUUUAUUUCAGUUAAAUGUUUGUAAGAUCAAACUUCUAUGCUAUCUGUAAAUCAAAAUACUAUCAGUGGCCUCAAGUUUGGAAAGCCAUUUAACUGGUUCUGUGACUAAAUCACUGUCAUCUCCAUCUUGAUUUAAUCUCUUUCAUAAUGGCAUUAAGAACUGCAGUACAGAGAGGCAGAUCUUAUGUCUGCUUCAUGAAAUGUGCUACUUGUACAGACAUGCUGAGUUUUUGCCAGUUAAAAACAUGCUUCACCACCCCUCUGAUUUUUUUUUUAUGCCUUCUGCACUCUAAUUACAUGAGCUAGUAAACUUACAUGUGUACAUAUCUCCAGGUUUACAUGGUAAGUGACCAAUGGAGAACAUAGAUUGAUCAGUGUGUAAUCAGCUUAAUAGUGAAUUUAGAAAGUGCAUUCAACAUCAAAGAUGUAGGGACACUUAGACCCUACAUGCAUGAUCAUUAUAGUUUGGGAGGAAAACGUUAUAGUGUGUUUGAUCAGUGAUGAGAAGUAAUUGUUAAAUAUGAAUUAAUAAAGUUACCUUAGAAUUAAGUUUUCUGAGGACA
rnacentral:lncRNA from 1 species